UACGGAGGGUGCAAGCGUUAAUCGGAAUUUCUGGGCGUAAAGCGCGCGUAGGCGGUUUUUUAAGUCGGAUGUGAAAGCCCCGGGCUCAACCUGGGAACUGCAUCCGAUACUGGAAGACUAGAAUGCGGGAGAGGGAGGUAGAAUUCCAUGUGUAGCAGUGAAAUGCGUAGAUAUAUGGAGGAANACCAGUGGCAGAGGCGGCCUCCUGGCUCGACAUUGACGCUGAGGUGCGAAAGCGUGGGGAGCAAACUGG
rnacentral:rRNA from 1 species